UACGUAGGGUGCAAGCGUUAAUCGGAAUUACUGGGCGUAAAGGGCGCGUAGGCGGCGCGACAAGUCACUUGUGAAAUCUCUGGGCUCAACCCAGAACGGUCAAGUGAUACUGUCGUGCUAGAGUGCGGAAGGGGCAACUGGAAUUCUUGGUGUAGCGGUGAAAUGCGUAGAGAUCGGGAGGAACACCUGUGGCGAAGGCGGCCGUCUGGGCCGACCCUGACGCUGAGGCGCGAAGGCGUGGGGAGCGAACGGG
rnacentral:rRNA from 1 species